UGGACUGGAAUGGGUGAAUUUAACUCAGAUGACCAUUAUAUCUACUACUUGGGCAGGAAUCCCUUCAUAAAAAAAUGAAUAUUUUGAAAAAAAAAAAAAAAACAAAACCACACUUUUUCUUUCUUCCUGCACUCCUCUUGCUCAGAUGGGAACUGGUGAAACAAUUAUCAGUAUAGUUACUUUAAGUGUAUUCUUACAUGUUUUUCUUCUCAGUGAAAUGUUUCCAGUCUUUGUGAUUAUAAAUGUUACAGGGUAUGAGGACUGUGAAUCAAUCCUCUCUGUGCAGACACAGCAGAAUGAAAAGUAUAGUGAUAUAGGAGUGAAGAGUCAGUGACAAAUUCAUAUCAGACAGUGUGCGGUAUUGAGUUCUAUCAGGCAACGUUCCAUGGCAGAGAAGCCCUCAAAGGCUUCUUAAAUUCAUCUCAUUAGCUCAUUGUGUUUCUACUUGGAUGGCAAAAUCAAUCAUUCAGGAUGAGUGAAAUGACAUUCAGUGACACUGCCUGCUAACACAGAUAGAAAAAUAUGUAGGUAUUUGUCACCACCAAACAUUCAUUCAACCAGUGUUGAUUGAGUUCCUGCUUGGUUCCUGCAGCAUAUAAAGCUGAAGUUCCAAAAAAACAAACAACAAGAAAAAAAUACUAUAACAAUGUCUGACAUUAUUAAGUUUACCAUCAUCAGUAGAGAUAUAUAAAAAAAGAUAAUUGAAUCUCAUUAAGAUCUGUGUUAUACACAGGCCAUAAGUUGGCUGAAAUUCUUUGCCUACACUUCAAGAACGAUUUGAGUAAAAUAGUAUAUGGAGAAAAUAGCACCAAAUGAUGGUCCAGAAACAGGUUAUUUUCUAAAAUUAGUGAUUAGAACAGCCAGGUGUACCUUUAUUAGUCUCAGUAAGUUCAUUGCAAUAUGUGGUGAGAUUUUUACCAACUUGUGCCAUUUUUCACCUAGGAUAGAAGUUUCUAUGCAACUUAUAUUGCUAUGGAGUUUGCUUUAGUUGGCUCUUCCUUAUGACAUUAAGCCACAUUGGAAAUGGGUUCAAUCUAGGCCUAUCAACUUCAUCCAAUCAACUUCAUGAUCAACCAUGAUCAACUAUGAUCAACCAGUCAACUUCAUAGUGACAAAUCCUGGAAUUUUGGAAACUAGACUUCUUACACUAGAUUCCACCAAAAGGAACUAGUUUCAGUGCUUGCCCUGGAGUAAGAUUGAUUAGGUUUGAAUACUAGCUCUAUUGUGUGACCUCAUACAAGUUUUUAGUGCUCAUAAGCCUAUACCUCAUCUAUGGAAUGGAGAUGAUAGAACUCUAUCUUAUGAAGUGGUAUAAGAAUAAAUAAAUUAUAUAAAGUACUUUGUACUACCCGUGCCUUUUAUAAAGUGUCAAAUAAUGUCAGAGUUUUUAGUAACAUAUUGACUUAUUUAUAAUAAUUUUAAUUUAGCUAUAUGUGUGUGUGUUUAUGUGUACUAUGUUGCUUCAGUCAUGUCUAACUCUUUGCAACUCUAUGGACUGUAGCCCAGCUCUAUGAACUGACUUCCCUGGUGGCUCAGAGGGUAAGGAGUCUUCCUGCCAUGCAGUAGAUCUGGGUUCGAUCCCUGGGUUGGAAAGAUCCCCUGGGGAAGGAAAUGGCAA
ensembl:lncRNA